UUUUUAUACGUUCAUAAUUGGGGAAAACUUCCUUCAUGAAAGUUGUAGAGCUCGUCGAUACGAUCUCGUGCAUAUGUGGUAUGCAAAAAUCAGAGUUCGUAUGAAUUAGUUAUGAUUUUUUUGAAAAAGUUUCCAGUUUAGUAUAAAGCUGCCAUUUUUGGAAAUUACCAAAAAUAAUUUCAGUUCCAUUUCUGGAAACCGAACUCUCUCUCUCUUGCGCGCGUCCGAGCCCAGAAAAAACAGAGCAAAGCUCUCCGGCCGAGUUCUCCCUCCUCCGGCCACCAAUCGACACCAGACCACCUCCCUUGCCUUCGCCUCGACGCCGCCUACUUGCUAGACGUGAUCACUUCCACCGGAACGGCCUCAAAUCCGGCAGUCGGAGCCGCAAACUUUGAAACAAAAAUCGGUCAACGCCGGUUUUCUCCUAGCUCCGGCCACCAAAACUCACGAUCCUUAGCUCCCUGAACUCGCCUCAACCUUCUGAUCAUCAUUCUAGAAGGAUCGCACCUGGAGUGAUCGGAUUCACGUUCGUCGGAGCUCGCCGGAUUCUGGAAAUUUUCCACCACCACCGAAGCUUUUGAUAGAAGGAAUCGAAGCCUGAAAUUGAAGUUUUGACGUCGAAAUCAAGCCUUGCCGGAUUCUGCAAAAUUCUGGAAUUUUUCCGACCACCGAAGCUUUCGAUCGGUAUAUCUCGAGCUACAGACCAUAUUUUUCUGUGAUUCUUGAACCAGUGAGUUCUUCUUGAGUUUCUUAACAACUCUUCAGAAGGAAUCGAAGCCUUAAAUUGACGUUUUUACGUCGAAUUGGAGCUCGCCGUUUUCUGCAGUUUCUCGCCGGUUUCUGGAAAAUUCCGGCCACCUUCAUACUGUUCAAGGUGAUCGACGGUUUGAUUUGGCGGACGAUUCGUGAAAUUGUAUUUUGAGCUGUUAAGAAGACGCAGCGGGAAUUUAGAGCGGGAAAUCCUACAGGUCAGGAGAACCAGGACGGUGAUCGGGCUGCUUAGAGUAGUGUUAUGUGAAUUACAGCAUUAUAUUGUGAGGUUUGUUAUGCUCAUUUAGAGCUUUGCAAUUUUACUUUGUAAGAGUGAAUUGUAAUAAUUAACUCGAGGUUUUCGAAUUUUUGUGUUGAGUGGCGAGUGGUGUGUUUGUUUGUGAGAAAAAAAUUCAGAACGUAUUUGUAUUAAUUGUUUAUUCAUGUUUCGGAUUUGAAUUGGUUAUUCAAAAUUCGGGGCGUGACAACCAUUGUUCAUCGGCACAAGUAUUUUGCUAUCAGUAGCAUCCUUGGUUCCUUUAUUGAAAGGCGUGACCGUGGAGUCCAAAUCCGACGGGAUCUUUACCUCGGAUGCAGAGCUCUGGAAUGGAAGGUUGGCCAUGUUGGGUCUUGUAGCUUUGGCCUUCACCGAGUACGCGACCGGCAGUGCCCUAGUGUAGAGCUGUUUCGUUACUCGUCACAAUUGUCAAAGGGUGCUUGCUAGCUUAUAUAAGCACACCCUGUAAAUUCACAUGUAGUUAAUUACACGUCUUAUUUAAGAGCUUCACGUAAGUCUUUAGAUUCAUACUCAAGUGUUCAGUUAUUCCAAAUUUCAAUAUACUCUCUUCAAUUUA